rnacentral:rRNA from 1 species
UACGUAGGGUGCGAGCGUUGUCCGGAAUUAUUGGGCGUAAAGGGCUCGUAGGCGGUCUGUCACGUCGAAAGUGAAAACUCAGGGCUCGAACCCUGAGCCUGCUUCCGAUACGGGCAGACUAGAGGUAUGCAGGGGAGAAUGGAAUUCCUGGUGUAGCGGUGAAAUGCGCAGAUAUCAGGAGGAACACCAGUGGCGAAGGCGGUUCUCUGGGCAUUACCUGACGCUGAGGAGCGAAAGUGUGGGAGCGAACAGG